AAGUCGUAACAAGGUUUCCGUAGGUGAACCUGCGGAAGGAUCAUUAACGUAUCUCUGGCGGGAAAGCGCGAGCCCUGCUCCGGCCCAUUCGGUGCCGCGCAGCGGGCGGACGCCCCCGUUCAACCUUUCAAACCCCCCUGUGCACUUUAACGGUGGAUGGCGUCUCCGGCGAGAGCCGGGCGUCGGAAGCCGUGCCUUUACAAACUCGAACUUCUUUUAACAGAAUGAACUGCGGCCUUAGCUGUCGCCUAACAAACGAAACAACUUUCAACAACGGAUCUCUUGGCUCUC
rnacentral:misc_RNA from 1 species